rfam:Actinotignum schaalii strain CCTG 27420 chromosome, complete genome.
GGCGGUGGUUAUAGCGGCAAGGGUAUACGCCCGGUCUCCUUUUCGAACCCGGUAGCUAAGGUUGUUUGCGCUGAUGGUACUGCACUCGGUGGGGUGUGGGAGAGUAGGUCACUGCCGCCA